rnacentral:rRNA from 1 species
CCUACGGGGUGCAGCAGUGAGGAAUAUUGGUCAAUGGACGAGAGUCUGAACCAGCCAAGUAGCGUGAAGGAUGACUGCCCUAUGGGUUGUAAACUUCUUUUAUAUGGGAAUAAAAUGUUCCACGUGUGGGAUUUUGUAUGUACCAUAUGAAUAAGGAUCGGCUAACUCCGUGCCAGCAGCCUCGGUAAUACGGAGGAUCCGAGCGUUAUCCGGAUUUAUUGGGUUUAAAGGGAGCGUAGGUGGAUUGUUAAGUCAGUUGUGAAAGUUUGCGGCUCAACCGUAAAAUUGCAGUUGAAACUGGCAGUCUUGAGUACAGUAGAGGUGGGCGGAAUUCGUGGUGUAGCGGUGAAAUGCUUAGAUAUCACGAAGAACUCCGAUUGCGAAGGCAGUUCACUGGACUGCAACUGACACUGAGGCUCGAAAGUGUGGGUAUCAAACAGGAUUAGAUACCCCAGUAGUC